AUGAGCUCAACGAGAACA
rnacentral:snRNA from 1 species